GAUGAAGAACGCAGCGAAAUGCGAUACGUAAUGUGAAUUGCAGAAUUCAGUGAAUCAUCGAAUCUUUGAACGCAUAUUGCGCUCUCUGGUAUUCCGGAGAGCAUGCUUGUUUGAGUAUCAGUAAACACCUCAACUCCCUUUUCUUUUUUGAAAUGGGAGCUGGACUUGAGUGAUCCCAACACUUUUCUCACUGGAAAGUGGCGGGUCACUUGAAAUGCAGGUGCAGCUGGACUUUUCUCUGAGCUAUAAGCAUAUCUAUUUAGUCUGCCUAAAAAACAGAUUAUUACCUUUGCUGCAGCUAACAUAAAGGAGAUGAGUUCUUGUGCUGACUGAUGCAGGAUUCACAAAGACAGCUUCGGCCGACUUUGUAAACUCGAUCUCAAAUCAAGUAAGACUACCCGCUGAACUUAAGCAUAUCAAUAAGCGGAGGA
rnacentral:misc_RNA from 1 species